GGGGAUUUAGCUCAGUGGUUCCAGUGCCUGCUUUGCAAGCACUAGGACCCGAAUUCGAUCCCCGGUAUCCCCC
rfam:Fukomys damarensis contig114023, whole genome shotgun sequence.